UACGUAGGCAGCGAGCGUUGUUCGGAGUUACUGGGCGUAAAGGGUGUGUAGGCGGUUGUUUAAGUUUGGUGUGAAAUCUCCCGGCUCAACUGGGAGGGUGCGCCGAAUACUGAGCGACUAGAGUGCGGGAGAGGAAAGUGGAAUUCCUGGUGUAGCGGUGAAAUGCGUAGAGAUCGGGAGGAACACCAGUGGCGAAGGCGGCCCUCUGGGCCGGGCCUGACGCUGAGACGCGAAAGCGUGGGGAGCAAACAGG
rnacentral:rRNA from 1 species